rnacentral:rRNA from 1 species
GAGUUUGAUCAUGGCUCAGGACGAACGCUGGCGGCGUGCUUAACACAUGCAAGUCGAACGGCGAAGGGACCUGCUUUUGUGGGUCCUGGAUGAGUGGCGAACGGGUGAGUAACACGUGAGUAACCUGCCCCCUUCUUCUGGAUAACCGCAUGAAAGUGUGGCUAAUACGGGAUAUUCUGUGCCUGCUGCAUGGUGGGUGUGGGAAAGAUGCGCCUUUGGGUGUUUUUGGUGGGGGAUGGGCUCGCGGCCUAUCAGCUUGUUGGUGGGGUGAUGGCCUACCAAGGCGGUGACGGGUAGCCGGCCUGAGAGGGUGGACGGUCACACUGGGACUGAGACACGGCCCAGACUCCUACGGGAGGCAGCAGUGGGGAAUAUUGCACAAUGGGCGCAAGCCUGAUGCAGCGACGCCGCGUGAGGGAUGGAGGCCUUCGGGUUGUAAACCUCUUUCGCCAGUGAAGCAGGCCUGUCCCUUGUGGUUGGGUUGACGGUAGCUGGAUAAGAAGCGCCGGCUAACUACGUGCCAGCAGCCGCGGUAAUACGUAGGGCGCGAGCGUUGUCCGGAAUUAUUGGGCGUAAAGAGCUCGUAGGCGGCUGGUCGCGUCUGUCGUGAAAUCCUCUGGCUUAACUGGGGGCUUGCGGUGGGUACGGGCCGGCUUGAGUGCGGUAGGGGAGACUGGAACUCCUGGUGUAGCGGUGGAAUGCGCAGAUAUCAGGAAGAACACCGGUGGCGAAGGCGGGUCUCUGGGCCGUUACUGACGCUGAGGAGCGAAAGCGUGGGGAGCGAACAGGAUUAGAUACCCUGGUAGUCCACGCCGUAAACGUUGGGCACUAGGUGUGGGGGGCCUUUUCCGGGUCUUCCGCGCCGUAGCUAACGCAUUAAGUGCCCCGCCUGGGGAGUACGGCCGCAAGGCUAAAACUCAAAGGAAUUGACGGGGGCCCGCACAAGCGGCGGAGCAUGCGGAUUAAUUCGAUGCAACGCGAAGAACCUUACCAAGGCUUGACAUGUGCCGGUCGGCUCCGGAGACGGGGUUUCCUCCUUGUGGGGCCGGUUCACAGGUGGUGCAUGGUUGUCGUCAGCUCGUGUCGUGAGAUGUUGGGUUAAGUCCCGCAACGAGCGCAACCCUUGUCCCGUGUUGCCAGCACGUUGUGGUGGGGACUCGCGGGAGACUGCCGGGGUCAACUCGGAGGAAGGUGGGGAUGACGUCAAAUCAUCAUGCCCCUUAUGUCUUGGGCUUCACGCAUGCUACAAUGGCCGGUACAGAGGGCUGCGAUACCGUGAGGUGGAGCGAAUCCCUUAAAGCCGGUCUCAGUUCGGAUCGGUGUCUGCAACUCGACACCGUGAAGUUGGAGUCGCUAGUAAUCGCAGAUCAGCAACGCUGCGGUGAAUACGUUCUCGGGCCUUGUACACACCGCCCGUC